rnacentral:rRNA from 1 species
ACUCCUACGGGAGGCAGCAGUGGGGAAUAUUGCACAAUGGGCGCAAGCCUGAUGCAGCCAUGCCGCGUGUGUGAAGAAGGCCUUCGGGUUGUAAAGCACUUUCAGUUGUGAGGAAGGUGGUGUCGUUAAUAGCGGCAUCAUUUGACGUUAGCAACAGAAGAAGCACCGGCUAACUCCGUGCCAGCAGCCGCGGUAAUACGGAGGGUGCGAGCGUUAAUCGGAAUUACUGGGCGUAAAGCGCAUGCAGGUGGUUUGUUAAGUCAGAUGUGAAAGCCCGGGGCUCAACCUCGGAAUUGCAUUUGAAACUGGCAGACUAGAGUACUGUAGAGGGGGUAGAAUUUCAGGUGUAGCGGUGAAAUGCGUAGAGAUCUGAAGGAAUACCGGUGGCGAAGGCGGCCCCCUGGACAGAUACUGACACUCAGAUGCGAAAGCGUGGGGAGCAAACAGGAUUAGAUACCCUGGUAGCACAGAG